rnacentral:rRNA from 1 species
UGGGGAAUUUUGGACAAUGGGGGAAACCCUGAUCCAGCCAUCCCGCGUGUGCGAUGAAGGCCUUCGGGUUGUAAAGCACUUUUGGCAGGAAAGAAACGUCGCGGGUUAAUACCCCGCGAAACUGACGGUACCUGCAGAAUAAGCACCGGCUAACUACGUGCCAGCAGCCGCGGUAAUACGUAGGGUGCAAGCGUUAAUCGGAAUUACUGGGCGUAAAGCGUGCGCAGGCGGUUCGGAAAGAAAGAUGUGAAAUCCCAGAGCUUAACUUUGGAACUGCAUUUUUAACUACCGGGCUAGAGUGUGUCAGAGGGAGGUGGAAUUCCGCGUGUAGCAGUGAAAUGCGUAGAUAUGCGGAGGAACACCGAUGGCGAAGGCAGCCUCCUGGGAUAACACUGACGCUCAUGCACGAAAGCGUGGGGAGCAAACAGGAUUAGAUACCCUGGUAGUCCACGCCCUAAACGAUGUCAACUAGCUGUUGGGGCCUUCGGGCCUUGGUAGCGCAGCUAACGCGUGAAGUUGACCGCCUGGGGAGUACGGUCGCAAGAUUAAAACUCAAAUGAAUUGAC